rnacentral:rRNA from 1 species
AACGAACGCUGGCGGCAGGCCUAACACAUGCAAGUCGAGCGGAUGAGGAAAGCUUGCUUUUCGAUUCAGCGGCGGACGGGUGAGUAAUGCCUAGGAAUCUGCCUGUUAGUGGGGGAUAACUCGGGGAAACUCGGGCUAAUACCGCAUACGUCCUACGGGAGAAAGUGGGGGAUCUUCGGACCUCACGCUAACAGAUGAGCCUAGGUCGGAUUAGCUAGUAGGUGAGGUAAUGGCUCACCUAGGCGACGAUCCGUAACUGGUCUGAGAGGAUGAUCAGUCACACUGGAACUGAGACACGGUCCAGACUCCUACGGGAGGCAGCAGUGGGGAAUAUUGGACAAUGGGCGAAAGCCUGAUCCAGCCAUGCCGCGUGUGUGAAGAAGGUCUUCGGAUUGUAAAGCACUUUAAGUUGGGAGGAAGGGUAUUCACCUAAUACGUGGGUACUUUGACGUUACCAACAGAAUAAGCACCGGCUAACUCUGUGCCAGCCGCCGCAGUAAGAC